rnacentral:tRNA from 1 species
GGACAGGUGACAGAGAGGUCGAAUGUGCCUGACCGUAACUCAGGUCUUAACUGCGCGGUGGUUCAAAUCCAUCCCUGUCCACCA